rnacentral:lncRNA from 1 species
UCUCACCAAUCUCUCUCAUUCCCAACUUUUCCCUUUUCUUUUUCUUUUGCAUUGAGCUCUUCUUCAUGCUUUUCUUCUUUUCUUUUCUUUUUCUCAUGAAUUUUUCUUUUCACAUUAUUUGAGCUCAAUGCUUUUCAUUUGUUUUUUUUUUUUCGAUUUUCCCCCAUACAACCCCAAACUUGACCUUUUCAUCACAUUCAAUUAAGCUCAUCCCAACUCAAGGUAAAGAAUUUCAAAACAAGGGUUCACAUACUGUUUAAGGCUAAGGUUCAAAAAGGGUUUAAUAAUUCAAGCACUUUGGGUGAAAAUUUGGCUAGAGAAGGGUUUUCAAAAAUGGCCUUGAUCAUAUGACAUUCACAUGCAAUUCAAUCGAUCAUCAAGAUUAAGGCAAUAUCAUCCAUGUUUUCCUGUGAACAACACAUGCAACAAUAAAAACUCUGGAGUUCAAAAUCUCACACACAUGCUUCCUCACACAAAAUUCAUUCAUACACCCUGCCUAGCAUCAUGACCAC